rnacentral:rRNA from 1 species
UACGUAGGUGGCAAGCGUUGUCCGGAUUUACUGGGCGUAAAGAGCGCGCAGGCAGUCGUUCAAGUCGCGUGUGAAAGCCCCCGGCUCAACUGGGGAGGGUCACGCGAUACUGAUCGACUCGAAGGCAGGAGAGGGAAGUGGAAUUCCCGGUGUAGUGGUGAAAUGCGUAGAUAUCGGGAGGAACACCAGUGGCGAAGGCGACUUCCUGGCCUGUUCUUGACGCUGAGGCGCGAAAGCUAGGGGAGCAACGGG